rnacentral:tRNA from 1 species
AAAGAUUUAGUUAAAUUUAUAAUAUAAAUUUGUCAAAUUUAAGUUAUUUUCUAAAAAUAAUCUUUA